CUGUAUUCAUCCUUGCAAAGUCGCAUCCCAACAAUAUCUCUCCGAGCACACUCCCUCUCUUUCUCUUCCCCUCUUUUUUGGUUUUUCCACCAUUUCUAGGGUUUCCAUUAACCGACCUAAACCCUUACCACUCUUUUGCUCUCUAGAAGCCCUCAAUCUCAUCCUCUAAAUCCUACCAAAAAAAAAAAAAAAAAAAAAUCAUCCUUUUUUACUUUCUCAAACAAAUCUCAUUCCUUUUCACUCUCUCAUUUUCCAUUUUGCUCUCCAAAAUCACCUUCCUUUGUUCAGUCCAAGCCUCUCUCUCUCUCUCUUUUUCUCCCUUGGACCCCCAGAUUCUUCACUGCACUGCUUUGUGGGCUUCUAUCCCUUCAUGGCCAAGACCAAACCUGGCAAAAAGGACCUUGACUCGUACACCAUCAAAGGCACCAACAAAGUCGUCCGACCUGGUGAUUGUGUGUUGAUGCGACCAUCGGAUUCAGAUAAGCCUCCGUACGUGGCGCGUGUUGAGAAGAUCGAAGCUGAUCACCGGAACAAUGUAAAGGUACGGGUUCGGUGGUAUUACCGGCCAGAGGAGUCGAUCGGAGGUAGGAGACAGUUCCAUGGUGCGAAAGAGCUGUUUUUGUCGGACCACUAUGAUGUUCAGAGUGCGCACACUAUUGAAGGGAAGUGUACAGUGCAUUCAUUCAAGAACUACACCAAGCUUGAGAAUGUGGGAGCUGAGGACUACUUCUGUAGGUUCGAGUACAAGGCCGCCACUGGAGGGUUCACCCCGGACCGUGUGGCCGUGUACUGUAAAUGUGAGAUGCCAUAUAACCCGGACGACCUUAUGGUGCAGUGUGAAGGAUGCAAGGACUGGUUUCAUCCCUCUUGCAUGGGUAUGACCAUUGAAGAUGCAAAAAAAUUGGAUCACUUUUUGUGUUCUGAUUGUUCAUCCGAUGAUGAUGCUAAAAGAUCUUUGAAUGCAUUUCCAGUAUCACCAUCUGUUGAGACUAAGGUGGAGCCAAAGCGCCGGAAGAGAUGACCUAUAAAUCGGGCCACAUCGAGGAGCUAUUGAUACAAGUUUAUCAGUGGCUCAGGCAUCCCGAAAUGGAGCUCUACAAUGUGAAGCUGUCUGUUGAACUGAUUGAUUCACCGGAGAAAUGACUGGAAUCGAUUAGGGAUUAAUUUGCGGCAAUUUGUAUGGUACCAACUCAUAAGUUGAUGCCAAUUUCUGUUGUUAUGAAGCUGCCUUCAGUCCACUCAUAUUUCAGUGUCAUUGGUUUGCGGAUUUACUACUAUCAGACAUUGUGAGCUUAGUUUGGAGGAUCAUAAGGAUUUGUCUUUUAGGUGUUUCUACCUGAUAGAGUGAACUUUGUACCAUUCACUUGCCUUUCCCAAUUUUUUUUUUUUUUUUAAUAAGUAAAUCGUAUAUAUAUUUUACAUGCUUAAGAUUAUUCAAUCUUUAUUCACAGCUACAAUGAAUUUUUACUA